CCCCUAGAUGUUCUGGGCCGCACGCGCGCUACACUGAACAGUUCAACAAGUCUUAACCUUGGCCGAUAGGUCUGGGUAAUCUUUGAACGCUGUUCGUGAUUGGGAUAGACCUUUGCAAUUAUGGGUCUUCAACGAGGAAUUCCUAGUAAACGCAAGUCAUCAGCUUGCAUUGAUUACGUCCCUGCCCUUUGUACACACCGCCCGUCGCACCUACCGAUUGAAUGGUCCGGUGAAAUCUCGGGACGGCGGCUUGGUCGCUUGCGUCCGACUGCUGAAACUUGAUUAAACCAUAUCAUUUAGAGGAAGGUGAUGUCGUAACA
rnacentral:rRNA from 1 species